GGACAAGCCCUGGAAACGGGGUCUAAUACCGGAUGACUCUCCUUCUCGCAUGUGGAGGGGUUGAAAGCUCCGGCGGUGCAGGAUGAGCCCGCGGCCUAUCAGCUUGUUGGUGAGGUAGUGGCUCACCAAGGCGACGACGGGUAGCCGGCCUGAGAGGGCGACCGGCCACACUGGGACUGAGACACGGCCCAGACUCCUACGGGAGGCAGCAGUGGGGAAUAUUGCACAAUGGGCGCAAGCCUGAUGCAGCGACGCCGCGUGAGGGAUGACGGCCUUCGGGUUGUAAACCUCUUUCAGCAGGGAAGAAGCGAAAGUGACGGUACCUGCAGAAGAAGCGCCGGCUAACUACGUGCCAGCAGCCGCGGUAAUACGUAGGGCGCAAGCGUUGUCCGGAAUUAUUGGGCGUAAAGAGCUCGUAGGCGGCCUGUCGCGUCGGUUGUGAAAGCCCGGGGCUUAACCCCGGGUCUGCAGUCGAUACGGGCAGGCUAGAGUUCGGUAGGGGAGAUCGGAAUUCCUGGUGUAGCGGUGAAAUGCGCAGAUAUCAGGAGGAACACCGGUGGCGAAGGCGGAUCUCUGGGCCGAUACUGACGCUGAGGAGCGAAAGCGUGGGGAGCGAACAGGAUUAGAUACCCUGGUAGUCCACGCCGUAAACGGUGGGCACUAGGUGUGGGCAACAUUCCACGUUGUCCGUGCCGCAGCUAACGCAUUAAGUGCCCCGCCUGGGGAGUACGGU
rnacentral:rRNA from 1 species